rnacentral:lncRNA from 1 species
UUUUUCGUAAGGAAUCAUAAUAUGCAGAGUAUCGCAGCAAAAGGCGAAUCGAUUAUAUGUAUGAAGACAUAUAACCGUGAGUACAUUGCUUAAAUUCAAAAGAAAAUCAAAGUAUAUCAAUCAUCAAGACUUUAUCGUCAAAAUGGAAAUACGAUAAAGUAAAUACAUCCUCCAACAACUCCCCACCAGCACCAGACCAAUCUCCCUCCUCGCUUAGUCUGCACAUUUAGAAAUACAUGCAGGGCGUGAGUACAUAAUACUCAGUGGGCAAACGCCGAAAAUCAAGAAAGGUGCUCUUAGAGCUAUAGGUUUGAAGCUUGCCACAUCUCAGCAAUACACAAAAAUAAAGUUAGCGUAAAUGAAUCUGUGCAUGCAGUUUUCAUAAUCAUGACAUCAUAAGUAAACGACUGCAGUCAAAGAUCUUAACAUGUAUGUACCACAUCUACAACUCAUCAUCAUCAAAGGUACUGAGAAGUAGGCCUCCCUCUCAAGUACCGUGACCGGCCGACCCGAAGACGGCUCGCAGUCACCUCUGUGCACAAAAUCCCGCUUGAGGCAGGACCGAAUUUGUCUCAUCAGUAGAGGGUAACACACAAGCUCAACAUCAAAAAUUGGCAAGUCAAACAGUUCUCAAAUAUCAUUUAACUCAAAUCAUUUGAUAAGCUCAUAACAUCAUUAAAUCAUUUUAGAAAGCUCGUACGAUAAACGUAUACUCAAAAUAUUGCCCACCUGAAGUCCUUCGCUAAUCCUGGAAAGAAAUCAGGCAACUUACUUCUUCGUCUCGCUCGGGCCUUCAUAUGUCAUCAUCACAUCGUCAUCGUCAUCGAAGGUUCAUGUGAUAAAACAAACCUUAGUCAGAAACUCAAUUUCUAAAUCCAAUCUCAUCUUAACUAUAACUUCUCACUCAACGUCUAUUUACCCAUUGAAACUCAAUCCCUAGGUAUACUCGGCUUCUAAGGAUUCACACGUCCUAU